CUCCUGUAAUCCCAACACUCAGGAAACUGAGAGAGGAGACUCGAGAGUUCAAGGCCAGCCUGGCCUAUAUAGCAAGACCUUAUCUCAAGAACAAAUCCAAACCCAAACACAUGCAUAUUACAAAAUAGCCUGUCUGGACCACUAGACUGUCAACAUUGGGAAUCUUCACAUUCCCAGCACCUAACUGAAUGCUUGGCAUGGGGAAGAAUGGCGGCCAGCACCAGCUUCCCUUCCUUCUGGGCGCUGAGCUGGGUACUUAGGCUUCCCAGCAGUGUGCAACGGGCAUACCGCCAUUCCCUUUUAAAAUCACUCACACAGAGGCCCUGAGGAGCUAACGUCCCAAGGUUCUGCAUAUGGGAUCGCCUGGAUCUGUCUGAUAUCACUGCUGGGGCUCUUUGUUCUUUCCCGUUGCCUCUACCCCAGUCCUGCCUCUUCAUCCCUCCCUCCCUCCGCCCCCUGGCAGCCCUCCUCCUCUCUGGCAGGGCUCCCACGCUGCCUGCGCCUCCACACAGGAUGUGCUUCCUGAAGUUCCUGGUCCAGAUGGCCCACGGAAGCUGCUCCUCAUAAAUCACUGGGCCUCGCCGAGCUGCGCUCAGCCACUUUCUCCUCUCAAUCUCCCCAGGUCCCGGUGCGUGGGCCCCAUCCGCCCAGUCAGCACAACUGGCUCCUCCAACCAGGGGAACGUGGGGAACGUGGCUGUGGGCCCCCUCCGCAUCAGGAACCAGAGCCAUAGAGCAGAUUUCUGGGAGCCCGAAGAGGGGGCUCACAGAGCAUCUUUGCCACUUGCAGAUAACAGUACCUGGCUCAAAGCAUUGCUAAGGAACCAAUAGGUAGUGUUCCAAAAAGACAGAUGAAGAUCCAUUGGAGCUGGGAGAACCAUCUCAGAAGGAGCCUGGUGGUACACUUGGAAUUGCCAUGGCAACCAGUAACUCAUCUCCAGUAGCAGGAUGGCUCAGUUGAGUCAGCCACACUCUGGUCAACUCCCUGUUUGGCUGUCAUCAAACACUAGGUUACUUUGCAGGACCCAGGGCACAGCAGUGGGCAAGAGGCAGAAAGCAGCCAGCCUCUGAACAAGACAACCAACCAACGCUUUCUUACCACACCUAUGAUCAUUCCUCUGGGCACUUGCUGUCUACCAGUCUAUGUUCAAUGCCUUCCAUGCAAUAUUCUUUUAUCCCCACGAACUAAUGGGUGCUAUUACUUCCCCCAUUUUACAGAUGAGAAAACCAAGACUCAGAAGAGCUGAUGUGAAAAGUCUAAGGAUUCAGCCAGGAAGAGACUUAAACUUAGGUCUUCCUGCCUCAAACAUGCACACCAUGUACCUAUCACUGAUAGGUGAUAUUGCUGUUGGACAAAUGGGCCAGCAGGCAAUACAUUCUGCCCCUGGAGAGGUUCAUGCAAUCAGGCAAUCUGAUUUCCCUGAGCCUCCUUCUGAUCCUUCCUCUAAAAACGAAGUGACAGUAACCUCUGCCUCAUGGACUGCCUGGAGGGUGAGUGGAGAUGAACGUGAAUGGGACCCUCACCACAGGCACAGACCCUAACACCUGUCCAUCCAGGCCACUGAGCCUCUACCCCUCCCACGCUGGCUGGGCGGGAGCUUGUGCUGCUCCAAUGCAAUAGGCGUGGGCAUCUUCCCUCUUGCUGAGCACUGCGGAUCAUGCCAAGCAUUCUCUUGCCUUUUGUGUGUGUUUUUCAUGACCCGCUACCAGCAGCUCUUCCCUGGGCGGCUGCCACCAUCUACCCAGCGCAAGAAAACUGCCUUUCUUCCCUCAUUUAGGGUCUGGUUUUCAUUUCUACAGUAUUCUCUUUAAUAACAAUGCCUAAUUAAAACAUCUGUUAAAAAGUCUGUAACAUUAACUUUACAGGGAGAAUUUAAUAGAAUUAUAUUGGAAUUGCAGGCAUUUAACGGGCUUCCUAAUUAGGGUUUUCUUAAAAAAAAAAAGGAAGAAGAAAGAAAGAAACAUUCUACAAAUUAAAAAAUCCAGCCUCUUUUUUUUUUAUAUGAUAAUGCAGGCUGAUGGUCCAGUGUCUGGAAAGGACAGGCUGAAAGAGAACAGGGAGAUGAGCUGUGCAGAAGGAACCUGCAUUUAACAGCGAGCAUCAAGCUAGGAUCGCUGUGAUCUGUGAUCUCAAAUAUAUCCUGCCAAGACUAGCCAAGACUAGCACUUCUGGCCCAUUUGCCUGAUGAAGAAACUGAGACAGAGACAGAUAUGAUUUGUUCCAAAUCAUACAUGUACACAGUCAGUAGCAGAGCCUUCCAUCUGCUCUUUCCCCUGCUCACACAGGCUCCAAGGUUUGCAUCAGAAGCUUUCUAGAGGCUUCUGUGACCAGAGCCUCUUCCUCCCAACCUGUCACUUCUCAACAGUGGGCAUCAUGGUUGGCUUCCAUAACCCACAACCACCACUGCUUUUCUCUUAAGUCCUCAUCAGCUUAGUGCCCCAACCUGAGCUGCCAGGGCAGCUGACCUGAGUGGUCACCCCCAAAGGCCACGGUCACUUAGCUAGGGCAUGGGAUGGAGUAGGAACUCAGGGAUAUCCAGAAUAAUCAUCAAAGCCACUGCCCUGGACCUAUAGAGCCCAGCAUCACCUGAGCCUAGGACAGUUAACAGGCAGGUACUCAGGCCUCACCCACACCUACCCAAUGAGACCCUGAG